CCCUUAGAUGUUCUGGGCUGCACGCGUGUUACAAUCGGGAGUACAACAAGAUUGCAAAUCCUAGUGGAUGAGUGGUUCUUCGAAAUUUUCUGAAGACUGGGAUAGUUGAUUGAAAUUAUUCAACUCAAACGAGGAAUUCCUUGUAAUUGUAAUUCAUUAUAUUGUAAUGAAUACGUCCCUGCCCUUUGUACACACCGCCCGUCGCUCCUACCGAUUGAACGAUCCGGUGAAUUAUUUGGAGUAGCUCUGGAAGUUGCAGAACUUCCUAUGUCACGAAAUUUUGUAAACCUUAUCAUUUAGAGGAAGGAGAAGUCGUAACA
rnacentral:rRNA from 1 species